rnacentral:rRNA from 1 species
CCUGGCGGCCUUAGCCGGUGGUCCCACCUGACCCCAUGCCGAACUCAGAAGUGAAACGCCGUAGCGCCGAUGGUAGUGUGGGGUCUCCCCAUGCGAGAGUAGGGAACUGCCAGGC